rfam:Deltaproteobacteria bacterium GWC2_65_14 gwc2_scaffold_976, whole genome shotgun sequence.
CGCAUAUGAGGCAACCGCACCUGGGCGAGAAGGCAAUAAGAUUCAAAGCCCGAUAGUCAUCCGGAAGGGGCGGGAGUAGAUGCGACGGGUAUAUGGGGGGAAGGUGGGUGCG